rnacentral:rRNA from 2 species
ACAGGGAUUGCCCUAGUAACGGCGAGUGAAGCGGCAACAGCUCAAAUUUGAAAUCUGGCGUCUUUGGCGUCCGAGUUGUAAUUUGCAGAGGGCGCUUUGGCAUUGGCAGCGGUCCAAGUUCCUUGGAACAGGAYGUCACAGAGGGUGAGAAUCCCGUACGUGGUCGCUAGCCUUUACCGUGUAAAGCCCCUUCGACGAGUCGAGUUGUUUGGGAAUGCAGCUCUAAAUGSGAGGUAAAUUUCUUCUAAAGCUAAAUACUGGCCAGAGACCGAUAGCGCACAAGUAGAGUGAUCGAAAGAUGAAAAGCACUUUGGAAAGAGAGUUAAAAAGCACGUGAAAUUGUUGAAAGGGAAGCGCUUGCAGCCAGACUUGCCUGUAGUUGCUCAUCCGGGUUUCUACCCGGUGCACUCUUCUAUAGGCAGGCCAGCAUCAGUUUGGGCGGUUGGAUAAAGGUCUCUGUCAUGUACCUCCUUUCGGGGAGAACUUAUAGGGGAGACGACAUGCAACCAGCCUGGACUGAGGUCCGCGCAUCUGCUAGGAUGCUGGCGUAAUGGCUGUAAGCGGCCCGUCUUGAAACACGGACCAAGGAGUCUAACAUCUAUGCGAGUGUUUGGGUGUCAAGCCCGAGCGCGUAAUGAAAGUGAACGGAGGUGGGAACCUUUCGGGGUGCACCAUCGACCGAUCCUGAUGUCUUCGGAUGGAUUUGAGUAAGAGCAUAGCUGUUGGGACCCGAAAGAUGGUGAACUAUGCUUGAAUAGGGUGAAGCCAGAGGAAACUCUGGUGGAGGCUCGCAGCGGUUCUGACGUGCAAAUCGAUCGUCAAAUUUGGGCAUAGGGGCGAAAGACUAAUCGAACUAUCUAGUAGCUGGUUCCUGCCGAAGUUUCCCCUCAGG